rnacentral:snRNA from 1 species
UCAUCGUAAACAGUUGUCUCUG